UGGUACUACAAGAAGAAACAGCUAAACUGGGAGAUACUUGAAAAUGGUCUAAAGAAGAAGAUUGAAAUAAGCUGGCGGGAUAUUUCGGCAAUGAGAGUUGAAUAUGGUGGCCAUGUGGAAAUUCUAGAAAUUGAGUUAUACAAGCUGCCUCAUUUCUACUGCGAGACCGAAAUACGCCCCAAAAAGCAUACCUCUUGGAAGCUGAGUUCCGAUUUCACUCAUGGUCAAGCUUGCACUUACAGGAGGCACCAUCUUGAGUUUCCUAAAGGCACACUAGGGAGAAACAU